rnacentral:rRNA from 1 species
UACGAAGGGGGCUAGCGUUGUUCGGAAUUACUGGGCGUAAAGGGCGCGUAGGCGGAUAGUUUAGUCAGAGGUGAAAGCCCAGGGCUCAACCUUGGAAUUGCCUUUGAUACUGGCUAUCUUGAGUACGGAAGAGGUAUGUGGAACUCCGAGUGUAGAGGUGAAAUUCGUAGAUAUUCGGAAGAACACCAGUGGCGAAGGCGACAUACUGGUCCGUUACUGACGCUGAGGCUCGAAAGCGUGGGGAGCAAACAGG